rnacentral:rRNA from 1 species
UACGUAGGGUGCGAGCGUUGUCCGGAAUUAUUGGGCGUAAAGAGCUCGUAGGCGGUUUGUCGCGUCUGCUGUGAAAACCUAAGGCUCAACCUUGGGCUUGCAGUGGGUACGGGCAGACUAGAGUGCGGUAGGGGUGACUGGAAUUCCUGGUGUAGCGGUGAAAUGCGCAGAUAUCAGGAGGAACACCGGUGGCGAAGGCGGAUCUCUGGGCCGUAACUGACGCUGAGGAGCGAAAGCAUGGGUAGCGAACAGG